UGGGUGGGUUUUUCUCUUUGGUUAUCUAGCUGUAUGAGUGUAUGUGAUAUCAUAAAGCUAGAGAACCGAAUGUAAAAACCUUCUCGC
rnacentral:pre_miRNA from 12 species